rnacentral:sRNA from 1 species
GUUUUUUGUUCAUGUAUU